rfam:Nicotiana sylvestris Nsyl_contig308974, whole genome shotgun sequence.
AGCCACGCAGUGAGCACAAAGCGAACUAUUCUAUCGCCUUUUACUAAAGAAUACUGUGUGCGCUGCAUAGGGGUUCUCAAUUUGAGUGCCCCCAAUAAUUCAAGUAUAAUAUUUAAGAGUUGUUU